rnacentral:tRNA from 3 species
GGCCCCGUCGUCUAAUGGUUAGGACGUCGCCCCUUCAAGGCGGCAAUACGGGUUCGAUUCCCGUCGGGGCUA